AACUUCUAGAAUCCAUCGAUGUGGAACACUUCAGUUUGUUUAACGUAGGAGACUCCCUGCUAUGUGGAUAUUUGGUAGCAAUGACUGAUGUGGAAACUACAUAUGCAGAUUUUAUUGCUUCAGGAAGAACAGGUAGAAGAAAUGCAAUACAUGAUAUCCUGGUUUCCUCUGCAAGUGGCAACAGCAAUGAAUUAGCCUUGAAAUUAGCAGGUCUUGAUAUCAACAAGACAGAAGGUGAAGAAGAUGCACAACGAAGUUCUACAGAACAAAGUGGGGAAGCCCAGGGAGAAGCAGCAAAAUCUGAAAGCUAACACCCCACUUUGACCCUCGACCACACCUGAAAAUGUCUCAAAUCUCCAGGAGUAUCUGGAAUGCAUUUGUUUCCAUGAGUGAAAAGAGGAAAAAGAAAAUGGCUGUGCUGCAUUGCAGGAACCUGCUCAUUAUCAUGUUAAAAAUGAGGGCAGAGGCUGUGGCUGCAGGCAGACUUUUCCCUACCUCUGUCAUUAGCAAUGGUUGAAAUCAUGUGGCUUGUGUUUGGGCGUCAUUUUUGUAUGGAUCCUUUCACUUGAUCAUAUGACGAAAUGCUUA
rnacentral:lncRNA from 1 species